rnacentral:lncRNA from 1 species
GCGAAAGGUCUCAGGGAAGAGCAUGCUAGCACAACAGCAAGGGCAAAGACGCUGAGGCAGAAAUGAACUUGGCAUGUACCAAGAACAGCCCAGAGGGUCUAUGAGGCUGGUGCAGGAAGAAGAAUAGAGAAUGGUAGGGUAUGCGUUGGAGAGAUCAUGUAAGGCCUUGGGAAUUUCUUUUAAAAACAAGUGAUGAGAAGCUUGUGCCAGAAACUGUAUCUGGCUACAUGCAAUAGAAACUCUAUCACAGAAAUUUGAUCAAGUCGUGAAUUUAUGUAUUUUUUCUCAUGUAACAAGAAGUCUAGGGAUGGCCAUUCAAAGGCUGAUGCCGCGGUUCAAGGAGCAAGAUCCCUUUUCCCUUCCUGUCCUGACAUCUUUGACAUGGCUGCUCUAUCUUUGGGUACUCGCUUUCCAGGCAGAAACAAAGGAAAACAGGGUCAAAAGAUGUAUGGCAUUACACUCUCCCUUUUUCUCAGGGAAACAGUGGCUUUCUUAGAAUCCCUAUCAAGUCUCAUUGGUUAGAACCGAAUCACAUGGCCUCCCUAACUGCAAGGGAAUCUGGGAAAUGUAGAUUUCUAGCCUUGCCCAUUACUUUCUCCAAGAAGCAGGGGUAGAGGAAGGGAAGGUUGACAGUGGCUAGGAAACGGGCUAGUUGAAAAGUCAGUAUGGAGGGUUUUGAGCAGGGGAUUGGCCUGAUCUGAUUUAUGAUUUUAAAAGUGAUCAGCCGCUGCUGAGCAGCUGGAACAAAGGGGACAAAAGUGGACUUACAGAUGCCAGCUUGGAGGGUAUCGUGCAGUUUGAGAGAGGGAUGUUGGUGGCAGCAGUUGAAGCUAGAUCAGAGACUCAUUGUGAAGGUGGAGCCCGUAGGAGUGGCUGAUGAAUCACGUGCCCCGUGUGAGGGAAAGAGGAGGUGCCUUGGAGAGGGGAGUGGAGGAUGAAGAGAAGAGUGAAUUACUGAAGGCCGGACCUGGAAAGAUCUUCAGAGACAACCAAUACACUUUUCACUUUACAAAUGAAGACACUGGGAAGGACCAGAGAGGGGAGUUUUCUGCGGGUCAUCAGCAAGUGAGUGGGGGAGCCCGGAACAGACCUGGGGCUUCUGGGUCUGGGUGGUGUGGGCAGUAUCAUAUUUCUUUUCCUGAUUUUAUGCAUCUGUCUUUUUAUCCCUUACCGUCUAAAUGGAACCGCCUCUUGUUUGCAGAACUUUUGUCCGAACUGCUGGCUGCCCUUUGCUAUUUUUUUUUUUUUUACUUUAUUUAUUUUGAGAGAGAGAGAGAAAGAAGGGGAGGGGCAGAGAGAGAGGGAGAGAGAGAAUCCCAAGCAGGCUCCGCACUGUCAGUGCAGAGCUCUAUGCAAGGCUCGAACUCACAAACCACGAGAUCACGACCUGAGCCGAAAUCUAGAGUUGGACGCUUAACUGACUGAGCCACCCCAGUGCCCCUGCCUUUUGCCAUUUUAAUGCCUCCCUGAAGAGUAGUGCAGGCACCGUGAGGGUGACAACUGUAUUAUUUGCUUCUCUACCCGCCCUCACUGUGCACAGCAUGGUGCUGAACACACAGAAGCUUCCUGGUCACGUUCGUGGGGCCAGAAUGAACUUACUGUCCUGCAUACGAAACGGAGGACCAAACUCAGACAACUGUCUCAGUCCUGAAGUUGCCGGGAUGAAUUAGUUCUUUUCCUAAAGCUUUUCAUCCUGAACGAAUCCUGAGGUGUACAGAGUAGUGUUACCCCUCUUUUCUCUCUGCACCUCUCUUGUCUGGGUGUAGCCUGUAGCACUGGACAAAUGACUUUAAGAUAAAAACGGAAUCCUUAAAAAAAAAAAAUCUUGUUCCCUUCAUGUCACGCCUGCAGCAUAAAGCUAAUUUAUAGCUACAUGGAAUUUCUCUGGUCUUUGAGGUCUCAUUAUGCAAGUAAAGGAGAGGAAGGAAGAAGACAGAAUGCUUACAAAUUCCUGGGGGGCGGGGAAUGACCUCACCACUUACUGGGUGUUAGCCAACUGCCCAGGGACCACAGUUCAGAUUCCUUUUGGGGAGGCCCUGAAAAUCCCCUGAUAACCCAAACUCUCCAAAUCUUUUAGGUCUUGAGAGAGGGAUGGAGGGCAAGUUGAAGGAAGUAGUUCUAGGUCCAAGUGACAUUUCCCAUUAUGCACUGCCCACUCUGAGAUGGACUGUAUCCAACCUGAGUCCUGGUCAGAGACUCGGGACUUGGGAAGUCCACUGACGAGGCCUCAGCAGGAUGUGAGAGAGCCGAGUGGAGGAAGACGGGUAGUUGGGGGAGAAGGUGAAGCGGGUUGGAUAUGUUUGGGGAUAGGUACUCAAGAGGGUACAUAUGGGACAUGUGAACAAGAGGACAGAAGCCGCGGGAGUGGGCCUUUCUAUUCACAUCCCCAACGGCAUUUUCCUGUAUUCCCCUAAAAACAAUUCCA